rnacentral:lncRNA from 1 species
GGGUAACUUGUGCCUGGGCAGUUAACAGACCUGGUGCGCUACCCAUCAAUCUCUGAAGGUCGGAGUUGUGUCGCUACGCCUACUACAAGAUACAGGACAUCUCAGUGUCGCCAAAUGGCAGCAUCUUUCCAAGAUAAAGAACUUCCAACAGAAGUUCUCUUAUAAAUGUACAUUUUAAUAAAAUGACGAAUUUAUUGAAACCAUUGCCUGGCCCAGACUUGAUGGCUGAACAUAAAAUACAGUUUGGUCUUCUGUUAAAUAGACAUGCUUCAUGUGGAGUGAUGGAGUGGGCCUUCUUUAUCUUCUUUCCUGCUGGUGUUCCUGUGCUGUGGUUACUGUAGGAAGUGUGGGAACAGCUUUGAGAAAAAGGAAAGAGCUAUGGUGAAAACUGUGUUUUUUUUUUUAAUCUCUUUAGCAAAUGUGAAUUGUUUUAAUACUACCUAAUCAUUCUACAGUUUGUCAGUACCCUUUAUAGAGUGCAUAAUGGUCUUAUACCUGUUACUGCUUUAGCUCUCUAUUGUGUUUUAUCCAUUCUACAGGCACAAUUCUAUCAAGCUCCUGUAUGGUUUCUUUUUUCUUUUCUUUUUUCUUUUCUUUUUUCUUUUUUUUUUUUUUUUCAUGCAACAAUAGAAGAAUUGUAAGGAUUAAGGUUUAACUUCUGACACGAAGUCUAAAUUAGAUCUCAGAAGAAAAAGGAUUUGUGUGUGUGGAGAACAUGGAAGAAUUGACAGGAGCACCAUGAGUCUCUGAUACUCUUCCUCUGUUCCUUCCACAAACUGGGUCUCUUUUUUGUCCCCCCCAUGAUGAUUUUAUGUACAAGUAAUAUUUAAUAAAAGUGUAAGCCAUGUGCCCGCCCAAUGUCUCCUCCCACCACUGCCUUGCUGAGGGAGCGGGGCAUGAGGCACUGGGGUCUGCACUUCCCCAGUCACCACAGGAGCCUGCUGCAGCCUGUGGAGAGCUUUCUGUGGCACACUGUGGCCCAGGGCACAGCUUUCCCAGCAGGUGCUGAGGCGGUGAGGAGAGCCAGGAGGGGGAAAUGUGAGGCAAAGAUCUUGAUGUAUUCAUGGCAAGGCCUAGAGCACCCUGAGAAAUGAGGAAAAAGAAGCACCAGUUGAGGUAAGGAUAAGUCUACUACAAGGUCUUCAGGUUACACUAACACUACAUGGGUUUGCGAAAGAAAUUUUUGUAAAUCUG